rnacentral:tRNA from 1 species
GCUGGGGCUCAGUGGUAGAGCACUUGCCUAGCACGUGGGAGGCACUGGGUUCAAUUCUCAGCACCGCA